rnacentral:rRNA from 1 species
CUGCGCCACAAGUGGGGGCCGUGAUUAUUGGGCCUAAAGCGUUCGUAGCUGGUUCUGUAAAUCUUUUGUGAAAUCGUUGGGCUUAACCUAACGGCGUGCAGAGGAAACUGCGGAACUUGGGACCGGGAGGGGUUAGAAGUAUUUCUGGGGAGCGGUAAAAUGCAGUAAUCCCAGGAGGACUACCUGUGGCGAAGGCGUCUAACCAGAACGGGUCUGACAGUGAGGAACGAAAGCCAGGGGAGCAAACCGGAUUAGAUACCCGAGUAGUCC